rnacentral:rRNA from 1 species
UACGGAGGGAGCAAGCGUUACUCGGAAUUACUGGGCGUAAAGGGCGCGUAGGCGAUUUUGUAAGUCUUGUGUGAAAGCCCAAAGCCUAACUUUGGAAGUGCACAAGAUACUGCGAGAAUUGAGUUCCGGAGAGGAAGAUGGAAUUCCCGGUGUAGCGGUGAAAUGCGCAGAUAUCGGGAAGAACACCCGUGGCGAAGGCGGCUCUCUGGGACGGUACUGACGCUGAGACGCGAAAGCGUGGGGAGCGAACGGG